ACAAUGAAGAGUUUGAUCCUGGCUCAGGAUGAACGCUAGCUACAGGCUUAACACAUGCAAGUCGAGGGGCAUCAGGGGAGCAAUCCUGCUGGCGACCGGCGCACGGGUGAGUAACACGUAUCCAACCUGCCAUAAACUCGGGGAUAGCCUUCUGAAAAGGAGAUUAAUACCCGAUAGUAUAACCAUUUCGCAUGUUUUGGUUAUUAAAGAAUUUCGGUUUUUGAUGGGGAUGCGUUUCAUUAGGUAGUAGGUGAGGUAACGGCUCACCUAGCCUUCGAUGAAUAGGGGUUCUGAGAGGAAGGUCCCCCACACUGGUACUGAGACACGGACCAGACUCCUACGGGAGGCAGCAGUGAGGAAUAUUGGUCAAUGGGCGCGAGCCUGAACCAGCCAAGUAGCGUGAAGGAUGACUGCCCUAUGGGUUGUAAACUUCUUUUAUAUGGGAAUAACAUCCACUACGUGUAGUGGUCUGUAUGUACCAUUUGAAUAAGCAUCGGCUAACUCCGUGCCAGCAGCCGCGGUAAUACGGAGGAUGCGAGCGUUAUCCGGAUUUAUUGGGUUUAAAGGGUGCGUAGGCGGGCUAUUAAGUCAGCUGUGAAAGUUUGCGGCUCAACCGUAAAAUUGCAGUUGAUACUGGUAGUCUUGAGUACAGUAUAGGUUAGCGGAAUUCGUGGUGUAGCGGUGAAAUGCUUAGAUAUCACGAAGAACUCCAAUUGCGUAGGCAGCUAACUGGACUGUUACUGACGCUGAUGCACGAAAGUGUGGGUAUCAAACAGGAUUAGAUACCCUGGUAGUCCACACAGUAAACGAUGAAUACUCGCUGUUUGCGAUACACAGUAAGCGGCCAAGCGAAAGCAUUAAGUAUUCCACCUGGGGAGUACGCCGGCAACGGUGAAACUCAAAGGAAUUGACGGGGGCCCGCACAAGCGGAGGAACAUGUGGUUUAAUUCGAUGAUACGCGAGGAACCUUACCCGGGCUUGAAAUGCAGAAGAAUAUACCAGAGACGGUAUAGCCAGCAAUGGCUUCUGUGUAGGUGCUGCAUGGUUGUCGUCAGCUCGUGCCGUGAGGUGUCGGCUUAAGUGCCAUAACGAGCGCAACCCUUAUCUUUAGUUACUAACAGGUUCUGCUGAGGACUCUAAAGAGACUGCCGUCGUAAGAUGUGAGGAAGGUGGGGAUGACGUCAAAUCAGCACGGCCCUUACGUCCGGGGCUACACACGUGUUACAAUGGGGGGUACAGCAGGUUGCUAGCAGGUGACUGUAUGCUAAUCCGUAAAACCUCUCUCAGUUCGGAUCGAAGUCUGCAACCCGACUUCGUGAAGCUGGAUUCGCUAGUAAUCGCGCAUCAGCCACGGCGCGGUGAAUACGUUCCCGGGCCUUGUACACACCGCCCGUCAAGCCAUGGGAGCCGGGGGUACCUGAAGUACGUCACCGCAAGGAUCGUCCUAGGGUAAAACUGGUGACUGGGGCUAAGUCGUAACAAGGUAGCCGUACCGGAAGGUGCGGCUGGAACACCUCCUUU
rnacentral:rRNA from 1 species